rnacentral:rRNA from 1 species
UACGUAGGGUGCAAGCGUUGUCCGGAAUCAUUGGGCGUAAAGCGCGUGUAGGCGGCUCGAUAAGUCUGCUGUGAAAGUCCAGGGCUCAACCCUGGGAUGCCGGUGGAUACUGUCGAGCUCGAGUCCGGAAGAGGCGAGUGGAAUUCCUGGUGUAGCGGUGAAAUGCGCAGAUAUCAGGAGGAACACCAAUGGCGAAGGCAGCUCGCUGGGACGUGACUGACGCUGAGACGCGAAAGCGUGGGGAGCAAACAGG